GCAGGGGUUCAGGUAAUUCAUGGAAGUCUCUUUUGAUCGACCGCACGCAUGGUUUCAUGCCCAAAACAGUUCCAGGGAAUUAGGCUGUGCGGCCGGGUUAUUUUCAAUGUCUAAGUUUAGUUCAAAUAGUCGAACAGGAACCAUUCGUGCACAUAGUCAAUGUUAACGUGCCGUUCGAAGUUCCGGAGAAGGUAAAGUUCAGUGGUGUUCGUGCCGUCGCGUGUCCGAUUUGAG